rnacentral:lncRNA from 1 species
UUUGAAUACUAGGGAAUUCAUGUGUUUCUUGAUGAAAGUGGGAUCCUUUUUCCAUAAUUGAUAAUUCUGUUGAGGCUAUUUCAUGUCACUUACAUUUUUAUGCAUUUUAGAGGAGUUUUAAGCACUGCAAGAUAUAACUGUGAUAGAAAGAUGCACUAUAUUAUAUAGUGUGGGGCUGUGGAUGUUGGAGAAAGAGAAGAGUGGGGGAGUGCCCGUGUCCUGCCAGAGUUCCAAUGCUCUGGGCACACAUGAUCAAACACCUUCUGUCCCACCUAGGUGGAAAUUACCACUCACUGGGUCCCACCAGAGUACAAGAUCUAAGCUCAACUGGAGACCAGGCUGUCUGUGCAUAGCCCAUUGCCCCACACUAUUGUACUAUUCUCUUAGAAAUAAAAAUAUUAUUUUAGUGAACAAAAAUGUUGAAAAUGUUUAAUGGUCUUUUGUAUAGUCACCAUGCAUAUUGGUCUUAAGUUAUUAAUAUUCCUUGAUUCAUAUGAUAAAACUUUUCUGGCCUAGUUUCAAAGGUCAAAUGCAUACAUUUGGAAGAAUUAAACAUGCAAAAAUAUUUCAUUAAGGACAUAAGAUACUGCAAAUAUUAAUCAGUCUUUUAUUUAUUAUAUUUUUCAUACAUUUUAUUUUUAUCAUAGUCUUUGCCUUACCCCAACUCCUCCCAGAUCCUAUCUACCCA